UUUACGUAACAACAAAUCUGUUAAUUUGAUACGAUUCUAGCGAUCUGGCAACAUUUUUUCAUUAAGAACCCAUCCUUCCUCAACAUUAUAUUAGCGUGCAUCAGACAAGCAAGAAAAAUCCCUGACUGGAAAAACAAUCAUCGAAAGUAUCUGCUCGACGAGUCGAAAUCUCACGAAAUCGGACCAUAUUCGGACGGAAUUUCCGACUGGGCAUUGUUUUGCUAUUUUGAUCCGGAAAAGUUGGCGGCAGCGUGAAGGAGGAAAAAAUGACAGAACGUCAUUACUAGUUCCGGUGGAAUAAGCGGUGGACGUGCCGUUCGUAAUCGAGUGCGUGGAAGUAAAAAUUAAAGUGGCCACAGAGGCCGUGUGCCGAUUUGUCGUCCCAAGAGGGAAACGCGUGUGCUCCGCUAGGGGUAAAUAGAGAAGACGAUUCGGCUUCUACACCUGGCCUCGUAACAACUUCACGGCCAGCAACUCAGGGACGACGAACGGAGAAUCGCCUAACCAACAUCAAUAACAAAAGGGCCAAAAAAGCCACGUGCUCAUCUGGGCCGAAGCCAAACUUCACGAGAAGAUCAUCGGAAAAGGGGUCGAAUUUCGACCCCUUUCUUUUUUUACCACCACAAUCCUGGGAAAAACUUCCUUUUCUCGAGCAAAACCAUUUGGCAAUAGUAUUGCAAAUCUGGUUUGGCAAAAUCUUCGGCAUUCAUCACGUUACCACCAAACCUUCCAUCCACCAAUCACCAUCCAUCGGGCGAGCCCAGCUGCAAAACAUCCCCACCGGAACAAGCUGCACAGCUACGAGGGCCGCAUCCUACGUUUGAGUUUAACCUUGCCAGGUGGUCGUUCAUCAGAGGUGUCAAGUCUUGCCGGAUCAGAUUGCAAUUCCGGUCGCUUCCAUUUCGCUAUUCCAGUGGCGCGAUUCCAGUGGAGCAAUCACCUGCUUCGGUCGUGCUACUCUAGUGGCAACAAAAUCCCGGAAAACAGCAACUGUGGGAAAUAAAAACUGUUCCGUAGUACGUUGUAUGCGAACGAACUCGACUGUAAAUACAUUUAUUAUUAAAUGAUGAUAAUGUAAACAAUCUCUUAUGAACUUACAAAUAAGUUUCGCCGUUUACCCUAAGCUCUAGCUCUGGCAACCCUAAACCGUCGGAUAUCACCGGCUAUUUGAAGCUAAUGGACGAAAAUCAUAUUUAUCUUCGGGUAAAUAAAAAGUACACUUGCGUACUUACGCUUUUUCUUUCCUACCGCUCUAAUUGAGCUCAACCCGGUACACCUAACCGGAACAACCGAACGGUCACUCAAACUAUCAAAGGAAAUACAAUAUUUUAGUGGCAAAUUGCGCAGUAAGGAAUUUCUAUCACCUAACCUCUUCCGACUCACAAACCCGCGAGCACUCAAAUCACGCGCAACUAGCCAAAUAGA